rnacentral:sRNA from 1 species
AUGGCAUAGCGGCAGCCAUUUCUGCAUAAGUAAAUGCAACUAAACCAGCAACAAUAGCAGCGAGUAAGAAUGAUAACGCAACGGCCGGUCCUGCAUGUUCUGCAGCAACAAUGCCAGGUAGCGUAAAGAUAGAUGUCGAUACAAUUGUUCCUACACCUAAAGCUAAGAAAUCACGCACCCGAAGUGUACGCUUUAAAUGACCAUCUUUAUUUUGAUAGAUAGCCGGAUCCUCUUUUCGUGCUAUUUUAUUGAAAAAACUUCCCAUAAACUUUCCUCCCAAACAUUCAUAAACAAUUCUAUACGGUGUUUUUUAAUAUGUUAUAUCAUAGCACAAAUAAUCAAUAUUUUGUCUAAAAAUUCUGAAAAAUCACAACUUUAUGUUACGUAUUAAUGACUUGUCUUGAUAACAUCCAUAGAUUUUUUAAAUGAUAAAACUGAUUAUAACAGAUAUUAAAUGAAUAAGUACUAUUUUUGCUAAUUUUCUAACAAUUUUGCACAUUAUAUUUUUAAAAUCAAUUUCAUGUUUAUGUCUGAUUGGCUAGUUUGUAUGAAAUGUAAUCCUUUGACUAUAAAAGAUGCAUCAAAUAUGAUG